rnacentral:lncRNA from 1 species
CCCUUUUUUCCUUGUCUGAUACGCCCCCGGGUCCCUUUUUAAUUAAACACAGCAUAACUCAGAAAGGACAGACUAUUUAGCCUUUGCCUACAUAGGGGUUCCACGUUUUGAACUGAGCUCGAACCUUUGAGUUCUGUUUAUUCUUGGCUAGGCAUAAUUCCCAGCUUCUCAGAUAAAAGGGUCGUAAAAAGGCUCAUAAGGUGCUUCGGACAUCAAACAGCUCAUACAAAACAAUAUCUUGAUGAGUUAAGUGCAAAUGAAUCAGAAACAUAAUGGGCUAAAAUUCCCUUGCUGUGCACAGGGGUUGACGGCUCAAGGAGAAAAGUGCUUGGCUGUGCAAAGCACACCUUGGGUUUCAUUACCCCCAAACCCUGGGAAGGGAGUUUCUACGUUUGGCCUAAGAGGGGAGUUUCAUUUGCUUUGCCGAAUUCGCACCGGAUAGAGUACAAAAGAGGGAAGGUCUUGCUCAGCUUUUCAAUUUCUCAGUUAUAUCCGGUGGGGAAGGGGACAGGGCUGGAAGGAAGGAAACCCUCAGGUGAGUGCGGAAGCCGUAUUCAUUCCCCAAUCACCUCCUAGUGUGUAUUUUGCAUCACAAAGCUCUCCACAAUCAGUGACAAAACACAGAGGGAUUACAAAUUCAAGAAAUGGAUCACUAUCACCGUUUUGUGAAGCGGCAGGCUGCCGCUGCGCAGACGACUUAGGGAGUCGCAGAGGGCUGAAACCCUCGGUGCCGAGGCGGCAGGCUGGAGUUCGGAAGCACCGCGUGACGCCUUCUCCCCGAGGAAGGACCUUCCACCACAUCUCGGGGGCAAAGAGCAAGGAGUAGGGGAAGGGUCCAAGUUUGUGCCAGGCCCUGCGUAAACCUGUCGGAAGAGGCCAGGAAAUGGACUCUGAGAUGCUGUCUCCUGUCUGUGGCACAGGGUCACUGGUGGAGAGACUUGAAACGCUGACUGGCGACAAAGCCCUCCGGUGGGUGAUAAACACGACAGAUAAGAAGUAAUUGGUUUCCUAUUUAACCACGAGAAAAAUCACAAAGAAUUCUCCUGAGUAUGUUCAUUCUUUUGUUUCGGAGGGAGAGGAUUCUUUUGAUAUCUCUGCCCUCUAGAAGCCUUGCCUUUACUUCCU